rnacentral:rRNA from 1 species
AGAAUCAACGCUGGCGGCGUGCCUAACACAUGCAAGUCGCACGAGAAAGGGGCUUCGGCUCUGAGUAAAGUGGCGCACGGGUGAGUAACACGUGACUAAUCUACCCUCGAGUGGGGAAUAACCUAGAGAAAUCUGGGCUAAUACCGCAUAACACUUACGAGUCAAAGCAGCAAUGCGCUUGGGGAGGAGGUCGCGGCCGAUUAGCUAGUUGGCGGGUAAUGGCCCACAAGGCGAUGAUCAGUA